GACGAACGCUGGCGGCGUGCUUAACACAUGCAAGUCGAGCGGUAAGGCCCUUUCGGGGGUACACGAGCGGCGAACGGGUGAGUAACACGUGGGUGACCUGCCCUUAGCUCUGGGAUAAGCCUGGGAAACUGGGUCUAAUACCGGAUAUGACUCCAUGACGCAUGUUGUGGGGUGAAAGCCUUGUGCGGCUAGGGAUGGGCCCGCGGCCUAUCAGCUUGUUGGUGGGGUGAGGCCUACCAAGGCGACGACGGGUAGCCGGCCUGAGAGGCGACCGGCCACACUGGGACUGAGACACGGCCAGACUCCUACGGGAGGCAGCAGUGGGGAAUCUUGCGCAAUGGGCGAAAGCCUGACGCAGCGACGCCGCGUGA
rnacentral:rRNA from 1 species